UCCCUAGAAGAUUAGUGGUUAGGCCACGGCACUCUCAGUGCUGCGGACUGGGUUAAAUUCCAGGCCAGGGAU
rnacentral:tRNA from 1 species